AUAUUGGACAAUGGGCGAAAGCCUGAUCCAGCCAUGCCGCGUGUGUGAAGAAGGUCUUCGGAUUGUAAAGCACUUUAAGUUGGGAGGAAGGGCAGUAAGUUAAUACCUUGCUGUUUUGACGUUACUGACAGACUAAGCACCGGCUAACUCUGUGCCAGCAGCCGCGGUAAUACAGAGGGUCCAAGCGUUAAUCGGAAUUACUGGGCGUAAAGGGCGCGUAGGUGGUUUGACAAGUUGGAAGUGAAAGCCCCGGGCUCAACCUGGGAACUGCUUUCAUAACUGCUGAGCUAGAGUACGGUAGAGGGUAGUGGAAUUUCCUGUGUAGCGGUGAAAUGCGUAGAUAUAGGAAGGAACACCAGUGGCGAAGGCGACCACCUGGGCUAAUACUGACACUGAGGUGCGAAAGCGUGGGGAGCAAAC
rnacentral:rRNA from 1 species